rnacentral:rRNA from 1 species
UCAUCCCGACUUACCAACCCGAUGCAAACUGCGAAUACCGGAGAAUGUUAUCACGGGAGACACACGGCGGGUGCUAACGUCCGUCGUGAAGAGGGAAACAACCCAGACCGCCAGCUAAGGUCCCAAAGUCAUGGUUAAGUGGGAAACGAUGUGGGAAGGCCCAGACAGCCAGGAUGUUGGCUUAGAAGCAGCCAUCAUUUAAAGAAAGCGUAAUAGCUCACUGGUCGAGUCGGCCUGCGCGGAAGAUGUAACGGGGCUAAACCAUGCACCGAAGCUGCGGCAGCGA